UAGUGCAAAUAGAAGCCCCCCUUCUUUCAAGUAGACGUCGAUAAAAAGGCGGACCAUGGGCAGGGCACGGGUCAAAAACUAGAGUCCGUCUGUCUCUCGCUCCCUCUCCCGCUUUAGAAAUCAAAUCAAAACCCUAGCUAGGGUUUUAGUGUUAUUUCUUUCUCUUCCUCUUUCAUCGUCUGCUCUGCUGAUUCUCUCUUCUACAAUCCGAAUCGCAACAAUGUCGAUGUCAAAGAGUUCCAAAAUGCUUCAAUUCAUCAACUACCGGAUGCGAGUCACCAUCCAAGACGGACGCCAGUUGGUGGGCAAAUUCAUGGCCUUCGAUCGACACAUGAAUCUGGUGAUCGGUGACUGCGAGGAGUUCCGGAAGCUCCCUCCUGCAAAAGGAAAGAAAAACACCAACGAGGAACGCGAAGAUCGUCGAACCCUUGGCCUUGUUCUCCUCCGUGGCGAAGAGGUUAUCUCCAUGACCGUUGAAGGUCCUCCUCCUCCUGAAGAGUCUCGUUCCAAAGCUGGCUCUGCUAAUGCUGUCCCUGGCCCUUGGAUUGGCCGUGCUGCUGGGCGUGGGAUCCCCACUGGGCCUUUCGUUCAGGCUCAGCCCGGUCUUGCUGGCCCUGUCCGCGGUGUUGGAGGACCGGCUCCUGGGAUGAUGCAGCCCCAGAUUUCUCGCCCACCUGUUCCUCAGCUCUCGGCUCCUCCAAUGGCUUACCCUCCUGCUGCUGGUGGAGCUCCACCUGUGAUCCGUCCACCUGGGCAAAUGCCACUUGGUGCUUACCCGGGACAGCCACAAGCACCUCAAAUGCCACGUGGUCCACCUCCUCAGGUUCCACCACCUGCUUUAGGAUUAAGGCCACCUCACCAAUUCCCAAUCCCACCACCACAAUUUGUUCAGAGGCCCAUGGUCCCACCUCCGGGACCAAUGAUGAGAGGACCUCCGGCUCCACCACCUCCAAGGCCUGGAAUGCCUCCUCCGCCUGGUGCUGUUCCUGUUUUUGGACCACCACGUCCAGGAAUGCCGCCUCCACCAAACCCUCAAAACCAGCAGCAGUAGUCAUUUUUAUUCGGUUAAGCGAAUGAGCUGUGGUUUGAUUUGUGCCAAAUAUUGUCAUUGCGCUAGAUGUUUUAACUUCUGGCAUGGCAACUUUGAUGUAUUUUUGAGGGAGGGCUUUAAUAGAGGGAGUGCUGUGAUGAUUCAUGUCUGGAAUUUGAUAGCAGAGUGUUUUUUGCAACAAUGGCAUUAGAGCACAGGUUCUUGAGUGGAUGAAUGAAAAUUUCUCCUAUUGUAGUUAAUUAACAUAUUUGAUGUUUUAAGUACCCCCACCCCCCCAAAAAAAAAAUAUAUAUAUAUAUAUAUAUAUUUGAUUGAUGUUUUAGUAGAGCAUAGUAUGUUUUGCAUUAACUGAGGAACUGACAUUACAUUGAAUCUGAAAUUACUUUUAUCUUUUGUG